AUGUGUCUGUAUGUAGAUGGUGUUCAGCACCAAGGACAGGAAUGUUUGUUUAGAUGGUGUUCAGCAUCAAGGACUAGUAUGUUUGAAG
rnacentral:pre_miRNA from 1 species